AGGCAGAAUUUUGAUGAUUUUUUAAAACAUUUCCUACAUGGGCUAAAACCCUGAGGAAAUAUUUCCUUUAUAAACAUCGUUUCGUUUAUUUAAGAAUGAACCAUUAGUAAGAAAAAACGUCGCCGUGAAGUCAAUAUGUCAAUAUUCUUAUAGUUCGACGGUAUUCUUAAAAUCGGCAAGGCUUAAAAUAAUCGAAAUAAUUCUGUUUUAUACCUGUGCUUAUAAAUAUAGUUAAAUGUUUAUUAAUGUGCAUAGAAAUGCCUUGAAGUAAACGUUCGUUCUGACGUUCUUGUUUGUUUAUUUACGCGAUCUUUAUCAUCGUCUUCUUACAUCCAUGAUCAAUAGAAUGUGAAGGAAUCGAUUGGAUUGAUUAAUAAAAGCAUUGGAAAAAAAUCAAAAAUCCAGAAUCCAAAAAAAUUACAACAAAAGUGUUUAAUAAAAUAAAAAAAGAAAUUUAUCUCUAAAGGAGUUUACUGUCCCAGAAAAGUGUGGUGCUAAAUAUUGUGUAAAAAAGUGAUUUAUAAUUUUGUAAUUGAUGGCGCAGAUGAAUGGGCAAGAAAUGCCGCCGCCGCCAGAUUCUUGUAUUGCCAUAACUUUGUCGAACAACCAGCAGAGCAAGUAAGAAAGACGGGACAAAACAAAAUCGACAAAAGUCAAUCACAUUUUAGGCGAUUUGCCAUACAAAUCUGUAAAAGAAAAACGUCCAGUUUUGUGGAAAGAAUUAUGGAUGUGCAUAAAAUUGUAAUUCACAGUCAUUUAAACGACUGCAAGCAAUUAAUUCAAAUAAAACGAUAACAAAAAGACUACCACAACAACAACAAAAACAUAAUCAAACAAAGAAAAAGUUUUAUCUCAAAAAUACCGACAUCAACAAUAAGGUCGAACUUCCUCUCUCUCUCUCUCUCUCGCCCUCGUACACAACAACAGCAAAUGGAGAAAACUGGAAAAUAGAAUAAAUAAAAACAAAAACCACAACAACUUUGACAGCCAUUAAAUACCAGAAAACAAAGCGGAAAAUUGGCGUUAAAUGCUCCUUCAAAAUUUGUAAGAAAAUGGCUUACGACCAUUAUAAGUCAAUGUCAUCCUCAUCAUUUUUGUCGUCAUCAUCAUCAUCAUCACCAACAUCAUCGUCGUCGUCAACAUCCUUUGCAUGCACUGGCAAACAUUUGGAGUUAAGACUUUGCCAAUAUAAGGGAAACAAUGCUGAUGUCAGAAGGGGGGACCAAGGAGGCGAUGAGGAGGAUAAAGCAGCAAUUUGUGAUGAUAAUAGACACUCACAGCGACUAUUCAAAUGUCCCAUAAACAGUCAGACAAGCAAAAACUUUCAAAGUAUGAACAAAACUCUGUCUUUGCAUGCCAAGAGAAGUUUUAAUAAAAGAGAAGCAGCAGCAGCAGCAACAAUUGUAAUAAAAUCCCAAAAUGUGGCAAAAUCAACAAAUGAAUUAAGUUUAGAAAGUCAAAGUACAACAACAGCAGCAACACCAAUAAUUAAUAACAGCAAACAGGAGGAGCCACAAAGCCAAACAAGAGUGCCAACAACAACAAUAAUAACUAACAAUAAAAAAGAAAUACCACCAACGAUUCCACCAGCAGCAUUGUCAACAUGCUCUGCAAUAUCCGCUCAAACAACAGUGACAGCAGCAACAACAACAACAACAACGGCUUCGAGGAUAUCGAGGAGAACUCUAUUGUUAUCCUUGGCCCCUCCAGCAUCAUCCUUGUCUUCCUCUAUAGCUAGAACAAAUUCAAGUUGUACAUGUUGUGCUGCUUUGUCUAAUGCCUGCAAACCUCGCAGUAGCUGCCAGAAAUCCCCAACAAUUGAGGACACCGACAACGAUAAAGACUUUGACAACAAAAACACCAACAUCUAUAACAUCGAUACCUUUGGCUAUCGUUUUAUCAACAGUGCCCGCACCUUUUGCUGCCCCAAUAGGCAUUGUGGCUGCAAGCGUUCCACAACUGGCAACAGCUGCUGUGGCAGCAACACCUUCAAGUGCACAUCGACACGUUUCAUUAUCUUCGUCUUGUAUUUGGUGUUAACGAGCUGUGUUGGCGUUAGUUUGCAAUCAAAAAAUGUACACAACAGCCUUACGCCAUCUGCCUCGUCAGCCAGCUUCUUUAACACACCUGCCACUCUACUCUUCACAACAUACCAUGACAUACAAGUGGCAAACAUUACAAAACCCACCGGUGGACCACAGGUCGAUGUUCUGGUCAAAGAUCUCACCGAAACAAUGGCCAUAGAUUUUUUCUAUGCCAAAAAUUUGGUCUGUUGGACGGAUUGUGGUCGCGAGACAAUUGAAUGUGUUAACACAAAUACCACGGGCCCCAUAUUGAAGGCGCCUAAGCAAACUGUGAUAUCAACGGGUUUGGAUAAACCCGAGGGUCUGGCCAUCGAUUGGUUCACGGAUAAAAUCUAUUGGACCGAUGGUGAAAAAAAUCGCAUAGAAGUGGCCACACUGAAUGGUAAAUAUCAGAAGGUAUUAUUCUGGACGGAUUUGGAUCAGCCUCGGGCUAUUGCUCUAGUACCUGGUAAAAGAUUCCUGAUAUGGACGGAUUGGGGCGAAUAUCCAAAAAUUGAGCGGGCCAGCAUGGAUGGAGAUCCCACCUCGAGAAUGACCUUGGUCAAGGAUAAUAUAUUUUGGCCCAAUGGCUUAACUGUGGAUUUGAAAAGUGAUUUGAUUUACUGGGCCGAUGGUCAUCUGAAGUUCAUCGAUGUCAUGAAAUUGGACGGCAGUAACCGGCGGACUGUGGUUAAUAAUCUUAAGUAUCCCUAUAGCUUAACUUACUUCGAUAGUCGUCUCUAUUGGACGGAUUGGUCGCAGGGUUCUUUAAAUGUUUUCGAUUUGAAGGCUCGUGAAAUGAAGGAGUUGAUCGAUACGCCCGAAGCACCCAACUCAGUGAGGACUUGGGAUGCAUCCUUACAACCGUACGAGGACAAUCCCUGUGCUCACAAUAACGGCAAUUGCAGUCAUCUAUGCUUGCUCAGCACCAAUGCUCAGGGUUUCAGUUGUGCCUGUCCCACGGGGGUGAAAUUGGUCUCCCAUAACACUUGUGCCAAUGGAUCCCAGGAAAUGCUUUUCAUUGUCCAGCGGGGCCAGAUCUCCAAAAUAUCUCUGGACUCACCUGAUUUCACAAUAUUCCCCUUGCCCUUGGGCAAGGUGAAGUAUGCCAUCGCCAUUGACUAUGAUCCGGUGGAUGAGUACAUAUAUUGGUCAGAUGUGGAGGCCUUUACAAUUAAGAGGGCCCAUCCUGAUGGUACUGGAAUUUCGGAUUUUGUUACCUCGGAAGUACGCCACGCUGAUGGCCUGGCUGUUGACUGGUUGGCCAGAAAUCUCUAUUGGACCGACACUGUAACCGACCGCAUUGAAGUGUGUCGUUUGGAUGGCUCGGCUCGCAAGGUCUUGAUCUACGAACAUUUGGAAGAGCCCAGGGCUAUUGCUCUGGCCCCCACCCUGGGAUGGAUGUUUUGGAGCGAUUGGAAUGAAAAGAAACCCAAAGUGGAGAGGGCCUCUUUGGAUGGCUCCGAAAGAGUGGUAUUGGUAUCUGAAGAUCUGAUGUGGCCUAAUGGAAUAGCCUUGGAUAUUGAAGCCAAAACCAUUUACUGGUGUGAUGGCAAGACAGAUAAAAUAGAAGUGGCCAACAUGGAUGGAUCGGAUCGCCGUGUGGUCAUCAGUGACAACCUGAAGCAUCUCUUUGGCCUUAGCCUGUUGGAUGAUUACUUGUAUUGGACCGAUUGGCAACGUAGAUCCAUUGACAGAGCCCACAAGAUAACGGGAAAUAAUCGCAUAGUAGUGGUGGACCAAUAUCCCGAUCUGAUGGGCCUCAAAGUCACCCGCUUGCGAGAGGUUAAGGGCACAAAUGCCUGUGCCGUGCGCAAUGGGGGAUGCUCCCAUCUCUGCCUCAACAGACCCAGUGAUUAUGUUUGUCGCUGUUCCAUAGAAUACGAAUUGGCCAAUGAUAAGAAAACGUGUGUCAUUCCAGAGGCAUACCUUUUGUUCUCCAAACAGGAGUAUAUUGGUCGUAUCUCCAUAGAGAAUAACGAAGGCAAUCACAACGAUGAGAAGAUACCAUUUAAGGAUGUACGCUAUGCCCACUCCUUGGAUGUGGAUGUGGCAGAUAAGCGCAUCUAUUGGACAGAUCAGAAAUCAAAAUGCAUUUACCGCGCCUUUCUAAAUGGCUCGUAUGUCCAAAGGAUUGUUGAUGCGGGUAUAAUAAGGCCCGAAGGAAUAGCGGUGGACUGGUUGGCCCACAACAUUUACUGGACCGAUUCGGAGGCCAGGCGUAUUGAGGUGGCCCGUCUUGAUGGCAGUAGCAGAAGGGUAUUGCUUUGGAAGGGAGUAGAGGAGCCAAGAUCCUUAGUAUUGGAGCCCCGCAAAGGCUACAUGUAUUGGACCGAAUCACCUUCAGAUUCGAUACGAAGAGCAGCCAUGGAUGGCUCAGAAUUGCAAACCAUUAUAUCGAGUGCCAACCAUGCCACAGGUCUGACUUUAGACUCCGAAACUCGUCGUCUUUACUGGGCUACACAGUCGAGGCCAACCAAAAUCGAAUCUGCGGACUGGGAUGGUAAAAAGCGUCAAGUGCUGGUGAGCACCGAUAUUGAUGAACCCUACGCGGUGUCCCUGUAUCAAGACUAUGUCUAUUGGAGUGAUUGGAACACCGGCGACAUCGAGAGGGUGCAUAAGAUCACAGGUCAAAACCGAAGCUUGGUUCACAGUGGCAUGACCUACAUAAGCUCCCUGGUGGUAUUCUAUGGGCAGCGGCAAUCGGGCACAAAUCCCUGCAAAAAUAACAAUGGCGGAUGUUCGCAUUUGUGUUUACCAUUGCCCGGACGUCGAGGCAUGACUUGUGCCUGUCCCACACAUUACACCUUGGCCAAGGAUAAUGUGUCAUGCAUACCACCCAAGAACUAUAUCAUAUUCAGCCAGCGCAACAGUUUUGGACGUUUAAUGCCGAAUACCACAGACUGUCCCAAUGUGCCACUGCCAGUGACGGGAAAGAAUAUAAGGGCUGUGGAGUAUGAUCCCAUUACCCAUUUUGUUUAUUGGGUGGAAGGCCGCAGUCAUAGCAUUAAGAGAGCCUUAGUCAAUGGAACCCGUGCCUCAGUCUUGGUAGGAUCAGGUUCACAACCAUUCGAUAUUGCCAUCGAUGUUAUUGGUCGCUUGCUAUUUUGGACCUGCUCGCACUCGAAUAGCAUAAAUGUGACAAGCUUUGCGGGUGAUGCCAUUGGGGUCAUCGACACUGGAGAUUCCGAAAAGCCGCGCAACAUUGCAGUUCACUCCAUGAAACGUUUGCUCUUUUGGACCGAUGUGGGCACCCAACAGGCCAUUAUAAGGGCUCGCGUCGAUGGAGCCGAACGUGUAGUUUUGGCCUUUAAACUGGAGGGAGUAACGGCACUAGCUGUCGACCAGCAGACCGAUAUGAUCUAUUAUGCCCAUGGCAAACGCAUAGAUUCUAUGGACAUUAAUGGCAAAAAUAAAAAAAUUUUGGUUUCCACCCACAUAUCGCAAGUCAUAUCCAUUGCUGCCCUCCAGGGUUUCGUAUAUUGGUUGGACGACAAGACCGGUGUCGAGAAAAUAACCAUCAAUGGCGAUGGUCGCCGAGCCGAAAUGCAACGCAUGCCACAAAUUACCGAUAUAGUGGCCGUCUGGACCCCCGAAUCCAAAUUGUUUCGCAAUCACACAUGCCUGCACUCACGCACAAAAUGUUCUCACAUUUGUAUAGCCUCAUCGGAAGGUCGCAGUCGUGAGGUAUGCUCAUGUCCUAAAAAUCUUAUGCUUUUGGAAGAUGAACAAAACUGUGGAGCUUUGCCUGCAUGUGGGCCCGAUCACUUCACCUGUGCUGCCCCUGUGGCGGGGGGUAGUGGAGCAAAUACGGACAUGAACAAGGAUUGCAUACCGGCAUCAUGGCGUUGUGAUGGCCAAAAUGACUGUCCCGACAAAUCCGAUGAGGUAGGCUGUCCUUCUUGCCGCCCCGAUCAAUUUAGCUGUCAGUCCGGUGAAUGCAUAGACAAGGCUUUGGUAUGUGAUGGUACCACAAAUUGUGCCAAUGGUCAUGAUGAGGCGGAUUGCUGCAAAAGACCUGGAGAAUUUCAGUGUCCCGUAAAUAAGCUAUGCAUAUCUGCUGCUCUAUUGUGCGAUGGCUGGGAUCAUUGUGCCGAUGGCGCUGAUGAAUCUGCCGACAUCUGUUCGCAGGCCAAUACACGUCGCAUGGCACCCUCGUCGGAUAAAAAAGCGUUUAUGAUACUGAUUGUGGCCACCAUGAUCACCAUAUUUUCCAUUGUUUAUCUGCUACAGUUUUGCCGCACUCGCAUUGGUAAAAAUCGCAAUGAGCCCAAAGAUGAUCAGGCCUCGGAUCCUUUGUCACCCUCCACGCUGAGUAAAUCGCAACGCGUAUCGAAAAUAGCCUCUGUGGCCGAUGCGGUGCGCAUGUCCACUCUGAACUCGCGUACCAGCAUGAACUCCUACGAUCGCAAUCAUAUCACUGGUGCCUCCAGUUCCACCACCAAUGGCUCCAGCAUGGUGGCUUACCCCAUCAAUCCUCCGCCCUCGCCGGCAACUAGGUCUCGCCGGCCCUAUCGUCACUACAAGAUCAUUAAUCAACCACCCCCGCCCACACCUUGCUCAACGGAUAUAUGUGAUGAAUCUGAUUCAAAUUAUACCAGCAAAUCGAAUAGCAAUAACAGUAAUGGCAAUACAAAGCUCUCCUCCUCGUCGGCGAAUGCCAACUCUUGUCAAUAUGGCUACGAUAGUGAACCCUAUCCUCCGCCACCCACGCCACGAUCUCACUAUCACAGCGAUGUGAGAAUAUUACCUGAAUCCUCGUGUCCACCCUCGCCAAGCUCUAGGUCCUCGACCUAUUUCUCACCCCUGCCACCACCCCCAUCACCGGUGCAAUCGCCCAGUCGCGGUUUCACGUAACAUUUUGAAAUUUUUAUGUAAGUUUUUCUUGCUAUGAUUAAGAGUUUUUUAAUUUGUUUUCUUAAGUGAUCAAGAGAGAGGGGAAACACAGGUGAAGGAAACCUUGCAAAUAUUGAUAUGAUUAAUAAACACAUACACAUAUGCUUCCAAAAACAUUUGUAAACCUUAUUUUUUUACGUUUUUGUAAAUACAUUUCUUCAAUCCCAGAUUACUACCCACAUAUACACAUCGUCAUAUCCGUAGUUCUUAAGGAUAUACUUAAAUUUAAGAAACUAAUUAUGACAAGUAUUAAGAGACUACUUAAGUGUAAAUAACUUCUAAAGAAAUGUAUGUGUAAUCAUCCCUAAAUGCAAUGAAAAAAGAGACUCCUUAAGACAUAUCCCAUUUGAAAGCAAGCUCUACUGUUGUUUAACAAACAUUUAAAUAUCCUUAAGAAAUCCUUGUCUAUUGAAAAAAGGAUUACAAGCUUUGGGAAACCAAAACCUUAAUUCCCCUUAAUUUUUUUUUUUAAAGAAAUUACAUAAAAUAUGAAAUUUUUGAGAAAUUUCAUUAAAAUUUGUAGUGGUUCCAAAUUUUUUUUUUUUUUAUUUUUGUAUACUCAAGUUUUAAAGUGCCCAUUGAGUUUUUUUAAUUUUAAAUUAGUUUUUUCAGCCUAACCUGAUAUGAAAUUUUUGAGAAUCUUUUGUUUAAGAGUCAUAGUGUCAGGCUUUGUUUUUUGCCGGUUCCGUAUAGACUUAAAAGCGGUUGAAACGAUUUUCCUUAAAUUGUCACUGUUUACAAUCCUGUAAGUGUUUCUAUAGUAAAAGUGGAUACUCACAGAUUACAGAUAUGAAAAAGAAUAAGAAAUAUGGGGUUUUUCGUUUUAGGUUGAAAAGUGGGGUUAGGUUGAAAAGUGGGGUUAGGUUGAAAAGAGGGCGCGGUUGUUAAACCGCCCCAUGCCACUAUGGACAUACACCUAAACCUCGACAAAAAAAAUCCAAGUAAAGAAUUCCAUAUUGUCUUUGGUUUAAGGGGAGUUUAUGGGAUGAGGCGUCCCCCAAACACUUGUCCCCAAAAUUGGUUAUCAAAUUCGUGUUCUAAUCUCAAAAAAUUUCAUUUGAGCCACAUAUUGCCAUGGUGGGUUAAUAUAUACUCUUUGGGGGGAUGUUUUGGCAAUUUAGAUAUCAGAUUCGUAUUCUAUUCCCAAAGACCUUUAUUUGAACCCCCUAUUGCGAUGGUCAGUAAAUAAUUGCUGUUUUGUGGGUCGUUUUGGGGAAGGGGUAGACCCCCCAGAAAAUUGGUGCCGAAAGUGGGUAUCAAUUUCGUGCUCUGCUUCCCAAUACCUUUCAUUUGAGCCCCACAUUGAUAUGGUCGGUAAAUAUGUCCGAUAUGGGGGUGUUUUGGGGAGUGGGGUGGUCCCCCCAACACCUAGCCCUGAGAAUAUAUCAGCAUCAUGCUCUACUCUCAAAUAUUAUUUUUUUUUAACCCCAUAUUGCCAUUGGCCUCAAAAUCGGAUAUCAAAUUCGUUUUCAAACCUCGAAUACCUUUUCAACCCCUUAUUGUAAAAGUCAGUAAAUAUGUCCGGUUUGGUGUAUGGGCCCUAAAAACUACCCACUCAGUGACUUAGCCCAGAUAAUAUAUGUCAGAUUCGUGUUCUACUCUAAAAUACCUCGUAUUUGAGCCCCAUAUUGCAAUGGUCAGCUACUACGACCUAUUUGGGUGGUGUUAUGGGGGUAGAAUGGCCCCAUAGACACUUUUUCCCGAAAAUUUAUAUCAGAUUCGUGUUUUACUCCCAAAGAAAUUUUAUUUGAGGCCCAUAUUGUUAUGUUCGCAAAUUUGUCCAAUUUUUAUGAAAAAAACUAGCUUUGCAAAAGCUCUUACGUUUAUAAAGUGUGGAAGGCAAGCUCAAUAACAGCAACUUAUUUUUAACUUUUUUUCUGUUUAUAUGUAUAGUCAUAAAAACAUGAUACAUGAUACAUUUUGUUUUCAUCAAAAAUAUAUAAAUUGAAAAGUUCAAAUUUAAUAAUAUUGUGCCAAAUUUAAAUAACAUAAAAAAAUACUGGAAUAAAUAUUCUAAACACAAAUAAAUAAAAUGCAAUUACAUAUUAUAUACUUGCAUACUACAAAUGUAUAUUAUUUUUUAUUAUUUUAAUACUAGAUUUUAGAAAUAAAACAAAUUGCCAGCAUUUUUUUUUCGUCAAAUCACUUAUAAUUUAAAAUAACUAUUAUCCUUUUGUUCGAGAAAUCCCUAAGCCCCCAUUUACAUAACAUUUAUUGUAUAUAAAAUUUCUUCAUAAAUAUAAAAUUAUAAGAUUGAUUUUUACUUUAAUAUUUAACUGCUAAGUUCGUGUAUUAUUUUACAUACGCAUAUCUUCCGUGUCAUUUUUUUGUGUUUUAUACAUUUUUUGUAAUUAUUUAAUUUAAAAACAUACAAAAAAAAACCUUAAUAAUACUGUGUGUGU